GCAUCGCUAGCUCAACUGGUAGAGCAACUGACUCUUAAUCAGUAGGUUCAGGGUUCGAUUCCCUGGCGAUGUA
rnacentral:tRNA from 1 species